AUUGAACGCUGGCGGCAUGCCUUACACAUGCAAGUCGAACGGCAGCACGGGUGCUUGCACCUGGUGGCGAGUGGCGAACGGGUGAGUAAUAUAUCGGAACGUACCUUAUUGUGGGGGAUAACGCAGCGAAAGCUGUGCUAAUACCGCAUAAUCCCUAAGGGGUAAAGCGGGGGACCGUACGGCCUCGAGCACUUAGAGCGGCCGAUACCUGAUUAGCUAGUUGGUGAGGUAAAGGCUCACCAAGGCAACGAUCAGUAGCUGGUCUGAGAGGACGAUCAGCCACACUGGGACUGAGACACGGCCCAGACUCCUACGGGAGGCAGCAGUGGGGAAUUUUGGACAAUGGGGGCAAACCUGAUCCAGCAAUGCCGCGCGAGUGAAGAAGGCCUUCGGGUUGUAAAGCUCUUUUGUCAGGGAAGAAACACCGGCUCUAACACAGUCCGGGAAUGACGGUACCUGAAGAAUAAGCACCGGCUAACUACGUGCCAGCAGCCGCGGUAA
rnacentral:rRNA from 1 species